rnacentral:rRNA from 1 species
GUGGGGAAUAUUGGACAAUGGGGGAAACCCUGAUCUAGCCAUGCCGCGUGAGCGAUGAAGGCCUUAGGGUUGUAAAGCUCUUUCAGCUGGGAAGAUAAUGACGGUACCAGCAGAAGAAGCCCCGGCUAACUCCGUGCCAGCAGCCGCGGUAAUACGGAGGGGGCUAGCGUUGUUCGGAAUUACUGGGCGUAAAGCGCGCGUAGGCGGACCAGAAAGUUGGAGGUGAAAUCCCAGGGCUCAACCUUGGAACUGCCUUCAAAACUCCUGGUCUGGAGUUCGAGAGAGGUGAGUGGAAUUCCGAGUGUAGAGGGGAAAUUCGUAGAUAUUCGGAGGAACACCAGUGGCGAAGGCGGCUCACUGGCUCGAUACUGACGCUGAGGUGCGAAAGCGUGGGGAGCAAACAGGAUUAGAUACCCGAGUAGUCC